ensembl:lncRNA
AGGGCUGUUCCUGAAACAGAGCCCCCAGAGCCCCCAGUUUUACCUUUCGGUUCUUCCCGACAGCCUGUCUUCCCAAAAUACAGUCUGAGGUCUGGAAUCCUUCUAAGAAUCUAACAAAAGGAUAAAACUGUCUUGCUGGAAAAUACACAUUGCCCAGAACUCGUGGUAACUCAGAGAACAUCAAACACCCUACACCCUGGCCUGCCAUUUAAAGCAGUAUCUUUAGAGGAAGAAAAAAGACAAAGCACAGAAGAUGUUAACUUUGUAUAAGGUAAUGAAUUAAAAAAUCUUAAAUGUUUGCUGAGAAAUAAGUUGAACAAUGAGGAAAGUAAAACAUGGUUUCGAGAAAACUAGAAGUCUCCUGAUCGACUACUGAUGCCAUGAGAGAAAGUUUGUAAGCCAUUAUUUGUCAUGGCCUUCUCUCUAGGCUUUCUCCUAAUUAAAUUUUCAUCAUAUCUUGUGAUUUUUUUUUUAGUCUGAGUAUUCCUAUUUCCUAAUAAAAUUUUAACUAUGGAAAAAGCCUAAAAUCUCUACGAUGAUUAAGAAAGGGACAUAAUUCUAUCAGAGAGUACAAUUCAGUUCAGUUCAG